GACGAACGCUGGCGGCGUGCCUAAUACAUGCAAGUAGAACGCAGUUGCGAACGGGUGAGUAACGCGUAGGUAACUGCCUGGUAGCGGGGGAUAACUAUUGGAAACGAUAGCUAAUACCGCAUACUACCAGAUGGACCUGCGUUGUAUUAGCUAGUUGGUGGGGUAACGGCUCACCAAGGCAACGAUACAUAGCCGACCUGAGAGGGUGGACGGGCACACUGGGAGUGAGAAACGGCCCAGACUCCUACGGGAGGCAGCCGUAGGGGAUCAUUGGAAAUGGACGGAAGUCUGACCGAGCAAAGCCGCGGGAGUGAAGAAGGGUUUCGGAGGGUAAAGCUCGGUUGUAAGAGAAGCGAUAUCUUACCAGAAAGGGACGGCUAACUACGUGCCAGCCGCCGCGGUAAUAC
rnacentral:rRNA from 1 species